rnacentral:rRNA from 1 species
GAUGAACGCUGGCGGCGUGCUUAACACAUGCAAGUCGAACGAUGAAGCCCAGCUUGCUGGGUGGAUUAGUGGCGAACGGGUGAGUAACACGUGAGUAACCUGCCCUUAACUCUGGGAUAAGCCUGGGAAACUGGGUCUAAUACCGGAUAGGAGCGUCCACCGCAUGGUGGGUGUUGGAAAGAUUUAUCGGUUUUGGAUGGACUCGCGGCCUAUCAGCUUGUUGGUGGGGUAAUGGCUCACCAAGGCGACGACGGGUAGCCGGCCUGAGAGGGUGACCGGCGCCAGGGGAACGGCGCGAGGGACAAGGGUGCUAAGGGAGGCAGCAGUGGCGAAUAUGAGGAAAUGGGCGGAAGCGAGGGACGGCGAUGCCGCGUGUGUGAACAAGGUCUUGGGAUGGGAAAGCACAUGAAGGGGGGAGGAAGGGCAGUAAGUGAAUAACUUGCUGUCGUGACGUUACCAAAAUAAUAAGCACAGGCUAACUUCGUG